CUACGGGCGGCAGCAGUGAGGAAUAUUGGUCAAUGGGCGCGAGCCUGAACCAGCCAUCCCGCGUGCAGGAUGACGGCCCUAUGGGUUGUAAACUGCUUUUCUAUGCCAAGAAACCUGAUUACGUGUAAUCAGUUGCCGGUAGCAUAGGAAUAAGCAUCGGCUAACUCCGUGCGCAGCAGCCGCGGUAAUACGGAGGAUGCAAGCGUUAUCCGGAUUCAUUGGGUUUAAAGGGUGCGCAGGUGGGCUUGUAAGUCAGUGGUGAAAUGCUGCCGCUUAACGGUAGAACUGCCAUUGAUACUGCGAGUCUUGAGUAUGGUUGAGGUAGGCGGAAUGUGUUGUGUAGCGGUGAAAUGCAUAGAUAUGACACAGAACGCCAAUUGCGAAGGCAGCUUACUAAGCCAUUACUGACGCUGAGGCACGAAAGCGUGGGGAGCGAACAGGAUUAGAUACCCCCGUAGUC
rnacentral:rRNA from 1 species